UACGUAGGGUGCGAGCGUUGUCCGGAAUUACUGGGCGUAAAGAGCUCGUAGGUGGUUUGUCGCGUUGUUCGUGAAAACUCACAGCUUAACUGUGGGCGUGCGGGCGAUACGGGCAGACUGGAGUACUGCAGGGGAGACUGGAAUUCCUGGUGUAGCGGUGAAAUGUGUAGAGAUCGGGAGGAACACCGGUGGCGAAGGCGGGUCUCUGGGCAUCUCCUGACGCUGAGGCGCGAAAGCGUGGGGAGCAAACGGG
rnacentral:rRNA from 1 species